rnacentral:rRNA from 1 species
CAGCCGCCGCGGUAAUACGUAGGGUGCAAGCGUUAAUCGGAAUUACUGGGCGUAAAGCGUGCGCAGGCGGUUUGUUAAGACAGAUGUGAAAUCCCCGGGCUCAACCUGGGAACUGCAUUUGUGACUGGCAAGCUAGAGUGUGGCAGAGGGGGGUGGAAUUCCGCGUGUAGCAGUGAAAUGCGUAGAUAUGCGGAGGAACACCGAUGGCGAAGGCAGCCCCCUGGGCUAACACUGACGCUCAUGCACGAAAGCGUGGGGAGCAAACAGGAUUAGAUACCCCGGUAGUCCCUGUCUCUUAUAC